GGGCGUAUAGCUCAGCGGUAGAGCUCUGGUCUUACACACCAGCGGUCGGCGGUUCGAACCCGUCUGCGCCCA
rnacentral:tRNA from 1 species